AAAAUCGUUCUCCGGUCGCCCCUCUAGGCGAGGAAGCCGCCAUCGGAGCCCUAGGCGAGGGAGGGAGGAGACCGCCGUCGUCGAUGGGGGGAGAGAGAGGGUGGAGUUUUGGAAGGUCUGGGGGUGCGGGGUCGGCUUCGGGAGCUCAGGUACAGGUGUUGCAGUUUUCCAUGGCGGAGAAGGGUGUGGGGGUGGAGGCGCCGCCGUCAGCGGUGGUGGGAGGUGG
rnacentral:lncRNA from 1 species